UGAUCAAUAUAUUGAUCAGACACUUUGCGUGUUGGUCACGGUGGCCAAACAGGCAACCCAAAUAAAAUUUACAUCAAUUCUAAACAAACAAACGGAAACUAACGAGAGCCAUUGCGUUCAAAACAAACGAGAGCCAUUGUACGAAGGUAUCACGUGACUCAGAGCUACAGUAUAUCAUAUAUAAAACUGCAAAUUUUACAGACCUCUAUUACUGCCGCUGAUAGAUCAAGUCGCAGUGAUAUAUAUAUAUAUAUAUUGCAUUUGGUUAAAUGGGGG